rnacentral:rRNA from 1 species
GACGAACGCUGGCGGCGUGGAUUAGGCAUGCAAGUCGAACGGUAUCAUCCUUUCGGGGGUGAGAGAGUGGCGAACUGGUGAGUAACACGUAGGUUAUCUACCCUCAAGACGGGGACAACCCAGGGAAACUUGGGCUAAUACCGGAUGUGAGCAACUUUUAGUUGUUUGAAAGGUGGCGUAAGCUGUCGCUUGGGGAUGAGCCUGCGUCCUAUUAGUUAGUUGGUGAGGUAACGGCUCACCUAGGCAAUGAUAGGUAGGCGGCCUUAACGGGUGGUCGCCCACACUGGGAUUGAGAUACGGCCCAGACUCCUACGGGAGGCAGCAGUCGAGAAUAGUCUACAAUGGUCGGAAGACUGAUAGUGCGACGCCGCGUGAACGAUGAAUCCCUUCGGGGUGUAAAGUUCUUUUAUAUGUGAGCAGUGCUUCUUAUAUUAACAGUAUGGGGAGAGAGAUAUUAGCAUAUGAAUAAGCAACGGCUAACUCCGUGCCAGCAGCCGCGGUAAAUUCG